rnacentral:rRNA from 1 species
AGCGGCGGACGGGUGAGUAACGCGUGGGUAACCUGCCUCAUACAGGGGGAUAACAGUUAGAAAUGGCUGCUAAUACCGCAUAAGACCACAGUACUGCAUGGUACAGUGGUAAAAACUCCGGUGGUAUGAGAUGGACCCGCGUCUGAUUAGGUAGUUGGUGGGGUAACGGCCUACCAAGCCGACGAUCAGUAGCCGACCUGAGAGGGUGACCGGCCACAUUGGGACUGAGACACGGCCCAA